GGGAAAGUCUGCAUCAGCAGCAACAUGUCCUUGCAGCCCUGCAUUCCUAAGGACAGAGAGGGCAAACUCCAGAUAGACACAACAUUGCUGUGCUGCCAAGCCGAGCAUUUGGCUGAAGUGAAAAUGCAUAGUAAUUCAUCAGGAUCCAGGUCAUUACAGUGAGAAAAAAUACCUAGAAUUAUGAUAUGAAAUAGAACUAAGGUCAAGCAGUAGAUCUAUAUGCAUGUCUUAGGUAAUCUUUUGAAUGUCUGCUUCAAAAAAAAAUAGAAGGAUUAAGGAGAUUAAAAAGGAAAUAAAUGGAGACUGAUACAAGCUGCAAGCAUAAGUGUGCUGAUGACACUAUGUGAUGGUGAUACAGCAGUGACUGCUAAGACAAAUUCUGGCAACUGAUUGUGUCUGUGAUGGCAGAAUGUCUCCCAGAAGCGUGAACCAAGUCAAACUGGGGACCAUGCCUUGCUCCUUCCAAUUCAUCACACCUGAUCCUGCCAUCCCACCGGGCUGCAGAGAGCAAUGAGGUGCUCGGGCGGCAUCCCCUGGAGCUGGAUGAUCUGGUGAAGUUCAUUCAGAUGCAUGUGAAAUACUUGAUAAGUAGCAAGAAUCCUGGCAAAAUCCUGCGCUGUAAUACUGGAAAGCAUCAGACGCGACACCGUGGCUUUGCUGACCUUACACCGUAAAGGAACCAGCUGGUCGGUCCUUUCCCUCCUUCUAUUCCUCCCCCUUCCCACACCAUAACCAGAUCUACUUUUGGAUUAAGCCUUCACAUGCCAAGAUUUUUUUCAUCUGUGGGCUUUAAAAAGUACACAGGCAGGUUCUCAACUAAACCAGAGCCAACGGGGGGGACUCCUGCAAUUAAUACAAUUAACAGAAAUCCAAUAGCGCUCUGACUCAUGGGCUGACUUGGAGCCAAUCCCUCCUGGGUCCUUUCAGUAAAGGUCACCGCUGGCUCCAGAUGCGGCAGAGCAAUCCACGUGCUCUCGGGCUUUGCCCUGUCGCAGAAAGCAGUGCUCCCGUUUUGGGACACCAUGUGCGUCGCGAGUGGGCACGCGCUCGGGAAACCGGAGCCCUUGCAGCCACGCCGGUGGCAGUGCUGGGAAUGAACCCGCAUGCGAAGGGGGAGUUUUCUCUUGCUGGGAAGCAGGAAUCGUCGAGGGAUUUGCAAGGAGGGGCAGCAUAUCUCAUUAGGAAAGUCAUCCAGGAAGUCUCACUUCCAAGAACCAGCUGGUAAACAGUUUAGAGCACCCUGUGCACAUCUGUAACACUUGACAAUUAAGGAGACGCUACUCGUGCACCUAUAAAAUAACCAGUUAGGUCUCGUUUAUUUGCAUCACUGAUUGAGCGCUUUGUCACUGGCUUUGAAGAGGGAAAAUUAGGCUGAGCUGCAGCUACAAAAUUAGGGAGUGCUGGAACCAAAGGCUCACGUAGCCCUCCUGUCUCACAAGCAGUGGCCACUGUCUUAACUUAACGUUAGAGGCAGUUGGAGCAGUCAUUACGGGCCACUAGUAGCCUGAAAUACAUUAAUCUGUGAGAAUACCCAGGAUUAUACUGUAAAGGUAAUUUAGAGCUGCCAAAAUGUUUAUCAGACACCUCAAGUGUCAGCAAGAAAUAUAGUUUCAUGCCCCUCCCCACCCGUUUCCUGAGCCGCAUGGCCAGACGUGAGCCCAGCUCCCCCCAAAGCGCAAGCCCACCCCAGGAAAUCCUGCGCCGAGCCUAAAAUUGAGUUUGCUUUUUCAUGCCUGACCUAGAGAGGCUCUGUGAGGCAGAGACAGGCAGCCCUCGGAGCCGUCCGCAUCGGAAGAAUACAGCUGCUCUUUUUUUUUACAAGGGGAGAAAAAGGAGGCUUUUAUGGCUAUCCCUGAAGAGAGGCCGCUCACAAUGCGCGGCAGUGUCUGAGCAGACCUACGUGCCGCGAUCCCACUUGGCAGCGCGGAGGGCCUUGCGUCGCUCCGGCUUCCCGGCUGCAGGCGCACCGUCCUGCCGCAGCCCCACGCACACUCCGAGGUCCGCGACACUGAAACCGGGACAAAAAUGAAAAUUGUCUUUUGCUAUUGUCCGUCUAUUUACCCUUUGCUUUGGUGGGUUUCCAUAGCAAUAAGAAAGGGAUCGCAUGCGCACCCGCCGGAGGAGGUGGGGGGAUUUGGGGAGCGCGGAGCUGCAAUUCGGCACACAACCGCGCCCCUCUGUGGCUUCCCUGUGACUGCGGCAGCCCUCGCUCCCCCCGGUCGUUUGCUCUCAGCGUGGCACAGCUCGGCUGUGUGCUCUUCUUCUUUGCUUUACAAAGCACAGCAACUUAAAUUACGUGAAUUGUUGAAGAUACGUAUUACUGCAGGCUCCCCCUGUGGUAUUAAAGUGGUCGAAGGAAUUCACUUAAGGCACUGUCGUCACACAUGGAGGAUUUUCGCAUUACACCAGAAACUGUUUUGUGACACUUCUUUUUAACUGUAUCAACAAAUUUAUUGGAGUGCUCGCUCUUUUCUCAUGGGGAACUCAUAAAGCCAUGUAAAAUGCAAGCUUGCAAGAGAAACAAACCUUUUUAGGCAGGUACCUGUCCAAAAAGUAUCUCCUAGAACAAAGGAAAAUCUGAAAACAGAAGGUUCAAGAUAAUACCUGUCUUUUCCCUGAAUCUGUAUCAGCUCUCACUGACAUGUUCAUGGCGGUGCAGAGAUAAACACCAGUGUGUGGUGCUGGGUGUGUUCCAGUCCCUCUGCCUAUGGCAAAAUUCACUGAUUUCAGCAGGGUGGAUUGAAAAGAAAAGCUGCCUUCUGAAUGGUCAUUCCACCAUCAGCCUUUUCCCUGGAUAUUUGAUGAAGUCUGGGGAAUUUCUACUUGCCCGAGCACAAGCACUCAGCCAAGGCCAACAGAAUGUGGCAGCUCUUCCUCCAUUAUCCAUGUACUUCCCAUUAGAAAUGUUAUUAUAGGAUUAGAAUGGAUAGUACCUGUUACCUAAGACUCAGAAGUUAGGAAAAGUCCUAGGCGAAGGAAGAAGCCUGAGGUGUGGGAAAUAAAGACACCCCCCCCCCCCAAACAGUGUUUACAAUAUUCAGAAUUUUUCAGCAUUACUGAGUCAUGGAUUCCUAGUUCAGUUCACUCUACAGCUUUAUUGAUAUAAAUGCAUAGAAAAAUUUAGCUGGAAGAGACCUCUAGAUCUUACCUUCUCCCAUCUCUUCCUCAGAGCAGGGCUAACCCCCAAGCCGGGUCGGGGCCGUGCUCAGGGUUGCUCAGGGCCGUGUCCAGUCCAGGUUGGCAAACCCCAGGGAGGGGAUCUCUGGCCACCUGCUCCAGUGCUGGACAACGUUUUCCUUCAUUCAACUCGAAUUUCCUUCUUGCGACUUGUGACUGUUGCCUCCCAUCCUUUUACUGUGCCUGUCUGAGAAGAUAUUUGCCCCAUCUUCUUUGCAAAUCUCCUUCAUAUAGGGGAAAGGAUUUCCUGGAAUACAGUAAUAAAAAAGCACCCGCUUUCACAGGCCAUCUUCUCACUCUCCAUGUCUGUGCUUUCAGAGCAGAUAUUAGAUGAACACAAGAAAGGGGGCUGACCAAUUGCAGGUGCACGUCAGACCUCUCUUUUCAAAAGCUCUGUGCAGUCAGAACUAGGCUGCUUCUGGUAUCCCAGCUGCCUUCUUCAAGGCUAAUGUAGGCAUCUUUAUAGUUCAUAUCUUAUAAUGUCUAAUUUAUGAAAUAUCCAAUAAAUCAAGUGCAUUUGUGGGAAGAGGCAAAAUAUGUAUCUAAUAAAGAAAAUCAGAGGAGCAAAGAUUAUAACUAAUCCACUCUUUGUGAUGUAUAGAGAAUAAAAUCCUAGGUUUGGAGGCAGAAUUAAGACACUUUUGGUUUUAGAAGAGACCUUCUAUUACAAACACAGAAAUAUUCCUCAAGACUGUUUUUCUCUGAUACCAGCUGCAUCUCACACAAACAUCUUGUCAGCACUUUUUUCAGCAAAGGGAUGUGGCUUACCAAAAAGAGGAACAGGGUACUUUUCUUGCUGUUUUCCAAGUGGGGAAAUCAUAAGGGUAUUUCUGACAGUUGCAAACAGAUCUAUAAGCUUUUAUUAGCCAGAAGUCUUGCACAAUUUAAAAGUGUAAGCAGCCAUAUAUUUUGUCUGUGUUUAAACAAUCAGAAGACAUUCAAGUUGCAUGAAAAGCCUUUGACCUGCUUGUGCAGAAAUCUUGCAAACAGUAAGAACUUUUCCUUUAGGUCAUUGUAAAUAAUGGAAUGAGGUUGAUUUAAAAUUGUGUUUUAAUUAGUCCAUCCGGUAUGAAGAGUGCACAUGGCAUUCAAGUCUGUGAUUUAUACAGCCACAUAAGAGUGUAAACUUCCUAGAUCCACAAAACAAGUAUAUAUUUAAACCACAAGCCAAGUCCACUCUUUUGCUCAGUCCCUACUGCAGUCUUACCUGAAUCCAAAACUAGCAGCUCACAUUAAGCUCAUUGACUUGUCUCAUGUGUCCUGCUAAGCAAAUAGCCCAUCCUAGUUCAGACAUUACAGAUAGAUAUUUAGGUCUUCAAGUCUGCAGUUAGGGGAAAACUGAGUUUCACAAAGCUUCAUCUCUAACUCCAGAGAUUGAAUAGAGGUCAAUGGUAAAAGCAGUUACACUGUUUUAACCAAAAUCUGAUCCUAUAUUUUGAAGACAGUCUGUAAUGUUUAGGAUUGAGGUAGGAAUCUCUCUAUUUUUAUUGCAGAACAAGAAAAAACAAUGUUCAUUUCUGUCAUAUGAAAGUUUACACUGGAAAAAAAAAGACAGCUCUAUUCAAGCAGAUUAAAAUAGCCCCGAAUUAUUUUUAGCUCUGCUAUUCAGGAGCAAGGAGAAGAAUCUUAGCAUUUUCUGUUUCUUUAUCAGUCAAGGAAUAUCUUUCUUGUGGCUACAGUAACAUCUCCAUGACGAUAACAACAUCUGGCCGCAAGCAGCACUUCUGAUCCAUAGGAGACUAUCUACACUGCCUGCGACUAUGCUCCAGGUGACAAAAGCAAAGACCUGUUUUUUACAUGUGCAGUGCACAGAGAGUACGCCCAGCAUCAUGUUCCGUACGAACACCCUGCCAGACACACAAGCGGAUGCUCUUUGAUAACGCAAACUGUCUGCUCAUGUGCCUCUGGGCUAGUGCACCAGUUUCUGAUGAGGACCUCAUGCUUUUUUUGACAUUUCUUUUCCGCAGGCCUCCCUAUGUCUGUCUGAAGCUGAAAGACUCCUCUGCCUUCUCCAUAUACGUGAUGGAAACAAAUGAGCCCCAAGAGAGAGGAAAAUGACCUUUGCACUUCAGCAGCUUGGCAGAGGUGCAGCAAAGGCCUUCAGAUCCUCCUCCAGAUCCUUGAGGAACCCUGGGAGGUUGACAAGGUUCAGAGGGGAUUCCUUUCCUGUUCUGCUUUCUGAAAAGAGAAAGUGCCGGUGACCAAUUUAGAAAAAUUAUGACACUCCCCAUUUGCUGGAAACAUGCGAUAAACAGAUUAAUAACUUGCUGGUGCUUUUCUUCUUUUUUAUUUCUUUUUGCUUAUUCCUCAAACUCCAACACAAUGGUAGAAAAGAAGAGAGAUGGAAAAGCUGUCUGACUGUUUUUCUUUGCAAAUUGCUUGUUAAAAAGUAAGAUGUUUCUUGAAAAAUCCCAUAGAUAAUAAAAGUCUGCAGCUGGUUAGGAAAUUAGAGCAAAAUUGCAGUAUAUUCACUAUACUUGUAUCCUAUGUGGGAUUCUUUUUUCUUCAGUACCAAAAACAUAUAUACUCUCCUGUAAAACUCUGUUUCUUUAACCUCAUGUUCAUUCCUGUAGGUUCAGAGCCAUGUUUUUGAAACCUAAGACCUAAAUUUCUGGAAUUUAUCAGAAGAUUUAAUAAACGUUACUACAAAA